rnacentral:rRNA from 1 species
AAUGAACGCUGGCGGCAUGCCUAACACAUGCAAGUCGAACGAAGCCUUCGGGCUUAGUGGCGCACGGGUGCGUAACGCGUGGGAAUCUGCCCUUGGGUUCGGAAUAACUCUCCGAAAGGAGUGCUAAUACCGGAUGAUGUCGAAAGACCAAAGAUUUAUCGCCCAGGGAUGAGCCCGCGUAGGAUUAGCUAGUUGGUGAGGUAAAAGCUCACCAAGGCGACGAUCCUUAGCUGGUCUGAGAGGAUGAUCAGCCACACUGGGACUGAGACACGGCCCAGACUCCUACGGGAGGCAGCAGUGGGGAAUAUUGGACAAUGGGCGAAAGCCUGAUCCAGCAAUGCCGCGUGAGUGAUGAAGGCCUUAGGGUUGUAAAGCUCUUUUACCCGGGAUGAUAAUGACAGUACCGGGAGAAUAAGCCCCGGCUAACUCCGUGCCAGCAGCCGCCGUAA